rnacentral:rRNA from 1 species
UAGGGAAUCUUCCGCAAUGGGCGAAAGCCUGACGGAGCAACGCCGCGUGAGUGAUGAAGGUCUUCGGAUCGUAAAACUCUGUUAUUAGGGAAGAACAAAUGUGUAAGUAACUAUGCACGUCUUGACGGUACCUAAUCAGAAAGCCACGGCUAACUACGUGCCAGCAGCCGCGGUAAUACGUAGGUGGCAAGCGUUAUCCGGAAUUAUUGGGCGUAAAGCGCGCGUAGGCGGUUUUUUAAGCCUGAUGUGAAAGCCCACGGCUCAACCGUGGAGGGUCAUUGGAAACUGGAAAACUUGAGUGCAGAAGAGGAAAGUGGAAUUCCAUGUGUAGCGGUGAAAUGCGCAGAGAUAUGGAGGAACACCAGUGGCGAAGGCGACUUUCUGGUCUGUAACUGACGCUGAUGUGCGAAAGCGUGGGGAUCAAACAGGAUUAGAUACCCUGGUAGUCCACGCCGUAAACGAUGAGUGCUAAGUGUUAGGGGGUUUCCGCCCCUUAGUGCUGCAGCUAACGCAUUAAGCACUCCGCCUGGGGAGUACGACCGCAAGGUUG